GCUGACGAGUGGCGGACGGGUGAGUAAUGUCUGGGAAACUGCCUGAUGGAGGGGGAUAACUACUGGAAACGGUGGCUAAUACCGCAUAACGUCGCAAGACCAAAGAGGGGGACCUUCGGGCCUCUUGCCAUCAGAUGUGCCCAGAUGGGAUUAGCUUGUUGGUGAGGUAACGGCUCACCAAGGCGACGAUCCCUAGCUGGUCUGAGAGGAUGACCAGCCACACUGGAACUGAGACACGGUCCAGACUCCUACGGGAGGCAGCAGUGGGGAAUAUUGCACAAUGGGCGCAAGCCUGAUGCAGCCAUGCCGCGUGUAUGAAGAAGGCCUUCGGGUUGUAAAGUACUUUCAGCGGGGAGGAAGGUGUUGUGGUUAAUAACCGCAGCAAUUGACGUUACCCGCAGAAGAAGCACCGGCUAACUCCGUGCCAGCAGCCGCGGUAAUACGGAGGGUGCAAGCGUUAAUCGGAAUUACUGGGCGUAAAGCGCACGCAGGCGGUCUGUCAAGUCGGAUGUGAAAUCCCCGGGCUCAACCUGGGAACUGCAUUCGAAACUGGCAGGCUUGAGUCUUGUAGAGGGGGGUAGAAUUCCAGGUGUAGCGGUGAAAUGCGUAGAGAUCUGGAGGAAUACCGGUGGCGAAGGCGGCCCCCUGGACAAAGACUGACGCUCAGGUGCGAAAGCGUGGGGAGCAAACAGGAUUAGAUACCCUGGUAGUCCACGCCGUAAACGAUGUCUACUUGGAGGUUGUGCCCUUGAGGCGUGGCUUCCGGAGCUAACGCGUUAAGUAGACCGCCUGGGGAGUACGGCCGCAAGGUUAAAACUCAAAUGAAUUGACGGGGGCCCGCACAAGCGGUGGAGCAUGUGGUUUAAUUCGAUGCAACGCGAAGAACCUUACCUGGUCUUGACAUCCACGGAAGAAUUCAGAGAUGGAUUUGUGCCUUCGGGAACCGUGAGACAGGUGCUGCAUGGCUGUCGUCAGCUCGUGUUGUGAAAUGUUGGGUUAAGUCCCGCAACGAGCGCAACCCUUAUCCUUUGUUGCCAGCGGUUAGGCCGGGAACUCAAAGGAGACUGCCAGUGAUAAACUGGAGGAAGGUGGGGAUGACGUCAAGUCAUCAUGGCCCUUACGACCAGGGCUACACACGUGCUACAAUGGCGCAUACAAAGAGAAGCGACCUCGCGAGAGCAAGCGGACCUCAUAAAGUGCGUCGUAGUCCGGAUUGGAGUCUGCAACUCGACUCCAUGAAGUCGGAAUCGCUAGUAAUCGUGGAUCAGAAUGCCACGGUGAAUACGUUCCCGGGCCUUGUACACACCGCCCGUCACACCAUGGGAGUGGGUUGCAAAAGAAGUAGGUAGCUUAACCUUCGGGAGGGCGCUUACCACUUUGUGAUUCAUGACUGGGGUGAAGUCGUAACAAGGUAACCGUAGGGGAACCUGCGGUUGGAUCACCUCCUUACCUUAAAGAAGC
rnacentral:rRNA from 1 species